CAGCCGCCGCGGGAAAACAGAGGGUGCGAGCGUUAAUCGGAUUUACUGGGCGUAAAGCGUGCGUAGGCGGCUUCUUAAGUCGGAUGUGAAAUCCCUGAGCUUAACUUAGGAAUUGCAUUCGAUACUGGGAAGCUAGAGUAUGGGAGAGGAUGGUAGAAUUCCAGGUGUAGCGGUGAAAUGCGUAGAGAUCUGGAGGAAUACCGAUGGCGAAGGCAGCCAUCUGGCCUAAUACUGACGCUGAGGUACGAAAGCAUGGGGAGCAAACAGGAUUAGAUACCCGGGUAGUCCCUGUCUCUUAUAC
rnacentral:rRNA from 1 species